rnacentral:rRNA from 1 species
UACAGAGGUCUCAAGCGUUGUUCGGAUUCAUUGGGCGUAAAGGGUGCGUAGGCGGCGCGGUAAGUCGGGUGUGAAAUCUCGGAGCUUAACUCCGAAACUGCAUUCGAUACUGCCGUGCUUGAGGACUGGAGAGGAGACUGGAAUUUACGGUGUAGCGGUGAAAUGCGCAGAUAUCAGGAAGAACACCCGUGGCGAAAGCGGCUCUCUGGAACGGUACUGACGCUGAGACGCGAAAGCGUGGGGAGCGAACAGG